CGGGAUGGCAUCCAUUUGAUUUUCAUUAUUCUGGGACAAAGUUGCUUCCGCCUUCCUUUAAUUAGGAAGUCCUGCAAAGAAUAUCAUGAGUCGCUCUCAAUCCCAACCAGCUGGGUAUUUUAAACACCAAGCACAUUACUCUUCCUCUGGGACAGAUUUCUUUGUAGUCAAUUAGGACUGCCCAUUAAAGUGGCAGAAUAAGCACAGUGCCUGCUGCUAUGAUGUGAUGGGCCGUGGGAAACACUUUUCGCCUAAAAUCACCUCCUGCAAUGGCCUACUUAAGGCAUUUGAUUCACCUAUGUUAACAAGGGGCUUGUACGUCUCUAUCUUUUGCCAUGGGACAAAGUGCCUUCCUGGAGAAGUUGUUUUUCUCCUAUUGACACCAGGAUUGGCCUAAGGACUUGUGUUGGUCAAGGAAAUAGAUGGAGUUUCACCAUGUAGCCCAGGCUGGUCUUGAACUCCUGGGCUCAAACAAACCACCUGCCUCAGCCUACCAAUGUGCUGGGAUUAUAGGAGUGAGCCACCACACCUGGCGUUAUCUGAGCUUCUUAGUAUGUGCUCCAUCCAUGUAUCAUUCAGAGAUUGGAGGAUUUCUUAAGUGCCUAAGAAGAUGACGGGAGAAAGAUUCAGAAGCAGCAAUUAAAUUAAAUUCAACAUGCAUCCACUGAGCACUUCUUGUUUCCCUAGAACUCUACAGAGACCCCAAGAGAUAUUUACCAGGAAGGUGGAACUCACAUUUCUUCCAAUUUAAGCUGCACCUCCUCAGUGAUGUGGCCCCCCUAAUAGUCCUCUACACAGUGACCCCUCCUCCUUUGGAAUCGUUAUUGUCAUUUGGAACCAUAGUAGCUUGUCUCCAAAGAUGGCCUUCCAGUAACUCAUGCUUCCUGAUGAUCAGGCCCUAAAUAGGUUGUCCUUGUGACUUCCAUCUUGACCCAUAGAAUGUGGUGGAAGUAGCAUUGGAUGACGUCCAAGGUUAGUUCAUAAAAAGCCUUGUGGAUUCUUCCUCAGCCUCUAGAAACACUUGCUCUUGGAGCGUAUGCUUUGAGGAAAUCCAAAUGUCAUAUGAGAUGCCUGAGACCACCUAUCUCAGACUAUUGUGGGAGAGACUACUGUGCUGUGAAGAAGUACAAAGUAGCCAUGUGAAGAUACCAUACGGAGAAAGACAGAUGCCUAGGUAGCCCCUAGCUGUGCCAGCCAUCCCAUCAGAAUCACCACACAUAAGAGUAAAGGAAUCAUUGUGGAUGUCCAGCCUAGUCAAGCCUGUAGAUGAUUCCAGUUCCAGUUGCCAUCUGUCAGUAACUGCCUGAGACCCAAGACAAGAACCACCCAGCUUAGCCCAGUAAAUCCACAGAAUCACGUGUUAUCAUGAUAAUAAAUUGUUUUUUUAAGCAACUAAGA
rnacentral:lncRNA from 1 species